GCUUUUUACAAAGUCAAAUUUAUGACUAGUCCUUGGCUUGCUCCAUCUUUUCGCUUUGGCCCAUUCCAAUAAUUUUCUUCUAAUUUGGCCCCUUUUCAGCUUGCUGUUGAUCAAUUGCAUCCCUGACAAGAAUUAAAUCAUAAAAACACUUAAUUAGCAGGAUUCAGUUCAUCAAUAAACCAAAUUAAGCACAAAAAAUAUGCAAUUUGACAUGUUUAUCAAAUCCCCCUACUUAGCUCAUGCUUGCCCUCAAGCAUGUUGUUCUUUCAAACAUUAGAAUCAAUUCCACAAUUUAUUAAAAAUCGAGCCCCUUUUCCAUAUCCUCAAUCAAUGCAAACAACAUAGGCAAAAAGAAAUAAAUGUUCAAAAUAUACAUUUUAAUCAACAAGUGUCAUAAAAUUGAAAUAUGUCAACUAAACAAUUUCGCUAAAUUGAUAUUGAAUUCCAUAAUUUGCACGGCAUUAUUAAUUAACUAUGCAUCAGAAAAUUAAUAGACAAGAUCAAACCUUUUUACGCGAACUAGGAUGACAACCCAAGCACCCUAUCCCGGUUACUCAGUUCAAACAGUCUUUAUUUAUUAUGUAUUAUUUUUUCUCACUUUUUUUAUUUUAUGGGGUGUUCAGCUAGGUCCUAGCUCAACUCCUGUUUUACUUGCACGUUUAAGAGCUUCUGUCUCUUUUCGUCGUGCUCGCAUCGAUUUCUCGAUCUCUGGGUCGUAUUCGAGAUCUCCUGAUGAAGAUCUGGUCAUGAAGACGAUUUAAACAAUUGUAAGUGUUGCCAGUCCCCGGCAACGGCACCAAAACUGAUGACUGUCGAUUCCACCAAUAUAAACCUACACCUAGUUUGCAAAUUAAAGCAGUAUAGGGAGUAAGGUCGAUCCCACAGAGACUGGAAUUACUGAAAAUUGUUUGUUUCUUGACUAGAUUAGUGUCUGGGCAGUUGUCGUGCCCGCGACGUUUGGGGGGGAAAUAAAAUAUGAAACCUGAAAUAAACACAAGAAAACGUAAAAAGUAAAAAGUAAAAGAUGAAAUAAAAAUAAAUAACAAAAUAAUUUAAAGGAAAAUCAAUAAAACUUAGCUCAGCCUUAAGCACGGGUUUUCCCGUCUUUGAUCCGUUCCUCGAAAUUAGGUGAACUCCUCUUUUUCGAUAAGCUAGUUAUAGUUACCAAGGACGCCUUGGACACCAACUCUUCCUUGUGUAAAUUAGUUAUGGAACGUCCUAUAACUAACCCUUACCGAUCGAACAACCUACGAAACGUUCGUGAUUUAGAACUCCGGCAGCUUUGCGUUCUAGAAGAGCCUAGCUCGAACCAAUGCCCUCAAACGUUGGGGCAUUUAAAUCCGGUUACUACUUCCCUUGACAGAACCAAACAGCAAUUCCCACUUGGCACGCCAAUGUGUUCAUGGAAGACCAAUUAGACAAUCGAUCCUUUCAGAAUUCCAACUGUACUUUUAGCCACACUAACUCAAACGACGUCUUUUUUGACUUAGUAUUGACUUGACUUUGUGAGUUGACGAAGUCAUACUCUUAAUCCGGAGAAAUAAUAAAUAUCAAAAUUUGGGAGUUAAACAGCUCGGGUUCGUAACUCACGGGUUUUUGACGGGGUUAACACCGGCUUAAAGCUGAAAGGGGUUUAGUGUGGCAUGAAUUUAAUCAUGCUUGAAGGUUAUGGAAAUGAUAGAAAUUAUAUGAAAAAGGUAGUGGAAAUGGAUAGGAAAAAUAUUUGCAAAGAGAAUUAGACAAAUUUUGUAAAAAAGAAGACAAAAUAAUCUAAUGCUCAAUUGAAUUAAGAAAAAGAAAAAUAAGGUGGAUAAUGGAAUUCCAAAAUGAAAUAAGAAUGUAAAGACAAUUGAUU
rnacentral:lncRNA from 1 species